rnacentral:lncRNA from 1 species
UUCAAUUUUUUAAUUUUUAAUGUAGAAGGUGUAAUAGCCUUGAGAGAAAUACCUGUCCAAGUCCCAGCCAAUAACAGUGGCCAACCGUGUCUAUAAUCAGCCCAUUUGAGAAGGUUCAGAAUCUCCCAGCAGCAGUUCUUAUGGUCUGAACAUGAUCUACACUCCUAAGGCUCAUAUUCUAAGGACUUGACUGCCAAUGGAUGGUAUUCCUGGGAUGUGAAUGGCCUGUGAGGGUUCCACUGAGGGGAUUGUAAGACUCUGACGAGCCUUAGCUUACUGGGGAACCCCCUACCCCAGUGAAGAAUGUGGAGCCAGGGAUUGAUGCAAAAGCAAGAGGAAUUUAUUGUUCCAGCAUGCUGGGGUCGUCAUCCUGCACCCAAAGGAGAGGGAGGACCUCCUGGUGGCAGCAACUAGGUACAAUAUGAUUGGCAGAACAGUACAUCCAUUAAACUGACUGGUCUUUAGGGAAUGAGGUAGUAGGGGCUUAAUUAGCCUUCCUUCUGGUCUACCUGCACUCUGACCUGUCUCUUUCUAGGAGGGAAGGGGUGUGAUGGAAUUUUCCAAUGGCUCUGAGCUGACCUCUUCAAGGUCACAAUGCAAUGCCACUGGUCACUUCAAUAUGCCUUCUCUCAUUGUGCCCUGCCAGGCAUGAGGGAAGCCCCACUCCUCCUUGUGAUGCUCUGCCUAGUGCCCUCUCCCUGACCUCUUCAGGUACCUCCACGCAGAUAUGGGGCCAAGGAACCGUGGACAGAGUCCUCUGAAACCAUGAACAGAAAUAAAUCUGUUCUCCUUCUGUUGCUCUUCUUAGAGCAGAGUGAUUGAAUGAAAGAGUGAUUCAGAGAAUGAAGGAAUGAUUUUCUUUCCUGGCUGGGUAUCUUCCUCUCUCCACCCUCGACUCAGCAAGCCAGCAGACCAGCUUGGAGACUCAGGAGUACCAGCAGCUACACAAAGAUGGCGGUGGAAACAGCUGCUGCCUCUUCCUUUUCCAGGAAACCAAGCAAGCUCCCAGAGAAGCUCAAGAAAACCUGGAACAGCCAAGUGGCACACUGAACCCGAGCGGUUAGAAUAAACCUCAUUCCACCUGCUGUUGAGUUGUUUACAUGCCAGCCUGAAUUUCUCUUAGCAUCUUUGUACCUAUAUAGAUCCACCGCUACCUGUGAUUAAGAACACAGUACACUGUGCACCUGGGACUAAACAAACCUGAAGCCAGAGGCAAGCAUGCCAACACUCCUGCUUAGUCAAUACAGCACAAAAGACACUUAGGUCGGUGUCUUCCCAUCUGUACAGUGACCAAGUAGACAGACGAGACUAUUUACAGUCCUUACUGUGUGGCAGGCACUGGCCUGAGCCUGAGCAUUCAGGAAUUUAUUAAUUCCACAGCAAUCCUGUGAAGUGAGUGCUAUUAAAAACUCCACUUUGCAGAUGGGGAUCCUGAAAUGCAAAGUCAUCUUCCCCAAGUCGCUUGGCCAGUGGGUGACUGCGCAAUAUCUCACACCCAAGUGGACUGACUCAGGUCAAACAGACUCCAAGAUAUGGACAGCCUAAGUUUGCCUCCCUGUCUAUUCCUGCUAACAAAGUCUCUCUCC